AUAUUGGACAAUGGGGGCAACCGUGAUCCAGCCAUGCCGCGUGUGUGAAGAAGGUNUUNNGAUUGNANAGCACUUUAAGUUGGNNNNNAGGGCUUUAGGUUAAUACCCUGAAGACUUUACGUUACCAACAGAAUAAGCACCGUCUAACUCUGGACCAGCAGCCGCGGUAAUACAGAGGGUGCAAGCGUUAAUCGGAAUUACUGGGCGUAAAGCGCGCGUAGGUGGUUCAGUAAGAUGGGUGUGAAAUCCCCGGGCUUAACCUGGGAACUGCUUUCAUAACUGCUGAGCUAGAGUACGGUAGAGGGUAGUGGAAUUUCCUGUGUAGCGGUGAAAUGCGUAGAUAUAGGAAGGAACACCAGUGGCGAAGGCGACUACCUGGACUGAUACUGACACUGAGGUGCGAAAGCGUGGGGAGCAAACAG
rnacentral:rRNA from 1 species